ensembl:lncRNA
CUCUGCCUUCUUCAGCUUCUAAGGCUGCCACAUCCUCGGAUCCCUUCCUUCCACCAUUCCAACCUCUGCUUCCAUCAUCACAUCUCCUUCUCUGGCUCUGUCUCCCAUGCCUCCCUUCCAGGACCCUUAUGAUCACAUCAGGGCCACCCAGAUAAUUCAGGAUAAUCUCCCCUUCUUAAGAUCUUUUUAAACUUAACUGCAUCUGCAAAGUCCCUUUUUCCACUCAGGUAACUUUUUUCUUUUUUUUUUUUUGGUGAGGAAGAUUAGCCCUGAGCUAACAUCUGCUGCCAAUGUUCUUCUUUUUGCCCACAGAAGGUUGUCACUGAGCUGACAUCUAUGUCAAUCUUCCUCCAUUUUGCAUGUGGGAUGGCGCCACAGCAUGGCUUGAUGAGUGCUGUGUAGGUCCACGUCUGGGAUCUGAACCUGUGAACCCUGGGCCGCUGAUGUGGAACUCACAAACUUAACCACCAAGCCACCGGACUGGCCCCUAGGUAACAUAUUUUUAGGUUCCAGGGAUUAGGACAUGGAGCUCUUUGCAGGGGCUAUUAUUCAGCCUACCCCAGUGUCACAAAGCAUAACUGUAACAUUCCACUACUGAGCUCCAUCCUUCAAAGGUGAUUUUUCUUUAGUGACGUCCUCCAACCUUGCUUUCUAUUAAAGGCUGUGCUCUAGGUUUGAGGGGACCACCCGUUUCUGCCUCCAUCUCUUCUGCUGCUACAGCAGGAAUUCUCAAUGCUGGCUACCUAUUGGAAUCACCUGGAGGACCUUUAAAACCUACCUAAGCCAGGAUGCCGGGCAGCUCAAUUGAAAUCAGAAUUUCUGGAGGUGGGGCUUGAGCUCUUGGCAGGUUACAGCGUGUCUCCAGGUGAUUCUAAUAUGAAACUAACUUCGAGAACCACCAUAAGAAAGAACUGCUGGCAAACCCUCCCAGCUUGAAGCUGAGUCCAAGAAGGAAAGAUUGACUGUAAAGAUAAAUGGCAAGAAAAUGAAUUUCUAAGUCAUUUAUCCCUGGUUUAGCAUUCUUGCUUGUGCUGUGUCUUUGCUGUAUGACCUUGGUGUUUUCUUCCAUCUUCAGUGCUGGGGUCUCUUUGCAACUUUUGAUCAUGCUGAGUCCAGGGGGCAGCCAGGAAAGCCUUCUCUGAUCUUCCAGUCUGCUUUAGAAGGUCAGGAUGUUACUGGGUUUCUUGGUGGAUGUCAAGCAGUCAAGCUGCACACUGAAAAGAGAGAUUUUCCGCCCUUUGAAGGAAAUUGCUCAGGGUGCAGAAUGAUGGAAUAAUCCUACUAUGCUGGUUUUGCCAAACUUUGUUUCUCAUCAUUCAUUCAGAUAGCAUCUGAUUUUCACAAAGCCUAUUGUCUUGCCCACUUCAGGUUUUAAAGAUUAUUUCUAUGUCUCAGCCCAUGUUAAUGAGUCAGCAGGCACUGAGCAAGCACCGCUGGGGCUGAACAUCGUCCUAGGUAGCGUGAGGGCACAACCAAGGACACGUAGGCACGGCGCCUGCCACGGGAUCUAGCUGGGAAUGUGAGAGUCACAUGGCACAGAAUAAUAUGAGGAAGAUGACAGUUAGGAGCUCUUGGAGCUGUGGGAGGUCGGUGAGGCCUCGGGUGGCUGGGAAGACAGCACAGAGGAGGUGAGCCCCGAGGAGGAUGGGUAGGACUUAGUUAGGGAGAGGGGCAUUCCAGAUGGAUAGACAGCAUGGGCUGAGCCCACGGUGGGUCCAGGGGAGUUAUUAAAAUAAUAAUAACAAAAACAAUAAUGUAAACCAGCUGUCCGUUGGGGUAUCCUGGCCCCCAGAUAUUGAGAUCAACUCAACACACACAUUCCAUGCCAUUCUCGAGGUU